UGUCUAUAAAGCUGCAAGUCAUCAGCAUA
rnacentral:sRNA from 1 species